AAGAGAAUGAAAUUUUUUAUAAUUUGUGUUGGGUCAAAAUCAUGUAAAGAAAGUUCGUAUGAAAACAGAACUGAGUGUAUAAAAAAAAUUCUAUACCAUGCAGUUAGCAAUUACAAAACUACUUUGCAGUAUAAUAUAGAUUUUGCUAUGAAAAGGUUAAAAUGGACUUGUUUUGAGAUGUGUAAUUAUAAAUUGUAAAAAAGGCUGAUGUAAAUAUAAUAUAUAUAAAUGACAUACCACAAUUUUUCAGCAUCUGAAGAAAAAGAAAAAAAAGAAUCUUAUACACACGCAUACAUACACAUACACAUCCCCAUGAAUAUAUUAGAUUUCAGUUAUCAAUCAAGAGACAAAUCAGAAGGAAGGGAAUUCAUUGAUGAAACAUGCAUGACCUUACAUCAAAGAUUAAAAAAGCAUGCAAAAGAUAUUGCUCUGGUAGUUGGAAUACAGCCUUAGAAAAAAACACGAGACUUUAUCUAGAUAUACUGAAAUGUAGUAAUAAAUAAAAAAUGAGAUAAAGGUAAUUAAAAUAGUUUAAUAAUGAUGUUGAAACCAGUGUAAGGAGGCUUUGUUUAUGUAGAAAAAGAAACAAAGCAUAGAAUAUGUAAUUAAUGAAAAUUUCCCUGGAGGCCAUUUCCCCAUCCUGAAUGUAUCGAGAAUGGUUACUAGCCAACAGUAAUCCACUUAGGACUAUAAUAUUGUCAAAAUUAUUAAAAUUUAUGCAUCCUGUGAUUUUAAAAAUUUAUAUUAAGUUGUUUGUAGUUUUGAUAAUGUAAUUUAUAUACAGUAUAUGUAUCUGUAUUUUUGUAUAACAUUUAGAUAGUUAUUAUAUAUGUAUGAAUUAUUGAAUAGGAAUAUAACAUUUCAAAUUGGAUGCACAUAUUCUAUUCUGCUAUACUAUAUAUAAAAUUAAUUCCAUGUAACUGUAAAAACAGAAUAUGGUUUUUUAAACUGAAAACAUUUUUCUAACUAAAUAUCAUUCAUACUGUAAAAGUGCUUGUAAAUGUAAAUGUAUUCUCUUAUAUAUCGUGUGUGUGUGUAGGUGUGUGUAGGUGUGUGUGUGUGUGUGUAUAUAAUGAUUCAGGAAAUUACAUUUUCAAUAUAUAAUUGUUUUAAAUACUUCAUUGAUAUGUGUGAUGCAUUGGCAUAUAUCACAUAUAUCAAUGAAAUAUAUAAUUAUCAAGAUUAUUAAUUUUGAUUUAUUGCAUCACUGAUAUAAAUAUUUUAGAUAUUGCAUGAAGUUUGAGUUUAAUUUACAUAAACUUAUUCUGUUCACUAAAUAGAAUGUUAAAUACUUAAAAUGUUUAUAUAUUUGUUUUGCGGUUUAAUAAAUACAUAACUUCAAGAUGGAUUUACAUUUAAAAAUAUUUAUUUUUAAACAAUUCUGCC
rnacentral:lncRNA from 1 species